GAUGAACGCUGGCGGCGUGCCUAAUACAUGCAAGUCGAGCGAACAGACGAGGAGCUUGCUCCUCUGACGUUAGCGGCGGACGGGUGAGUAACACGUGGAUAACCUACCUAUAAGACUGGGAUAACUUCGGGAAACCGGAGCUAAUACCGGAUAAUAUAUUGAACCGCAUGGUUCAAUAGUGAAAGACGGUUUUGCUGUCACUUAUAGAUGGAUCCGCGCCGCAUUAGCUAGUUGGUAAGGUAACGGCUUACCAAGGCAACGAUGCGUAGCCGACCUGAGAGGGUGAUCGGCCACACUGGAACUGAGACACGGUCCAGACUCCUACGGGAGGCAGCAGUAGGGAAUCUUCCGCAAAGGGCGAAAGCUUGACGGAGCAACGCCGCGUGAGUGAUGAAGGUCUUCGGAUCGUAAAACUCUGUUAUUAGGGAAGAACAAAUGUGUAAGUAACUAUGCACGUCUUGACGGUACCUAAUCAGAAAGCCACGGCUAGCUACGUG
rnacentral:rRNA from 1 species